rnacentral:pre_miRNA from 1 species
UUGUGCGUGUGACAUCGGCUAUGUCGGGUGUGCGCAUAACU